rnacentral:rRNA from 1 species
GCUACCUUCGGGGUGAGCGGCGGACGGGUUAGUAACGCGUGGGAACAUACCCUUCUCUACGGAAUAGCCUCGGGAAACUGAGAGUAAUACCGUAUACGCCCUUCGGGGGAAAGAUUUAUCGGAGAUGGAUUGGCCCGCGUUAGAUUAGAUAGUUGGUGGGGUAAUGGCCUACCAAGUCUACGAUCUAUAGCUGGUUUGAGAGGAUGAUCAGCAACACUGGGACUGAGACACGGCCCAGACUCCUACGGGAGGCAGCA